AGUAUACCAUCUAGAACCGCAAUUGGAAUUUUAAAAGCCUAAGUAUUGUAUCCUUGUUAGAAGAUACAAAGACAAACACUCAUACGGACUUUGGCUACACCAUCAAAGCUUUGAGAAGCAAGAAGAAGCUUGGUUAGUGUUUUGGAGUGAAAUAUGACUAGAUGUCAUGUGUAUGG
rnacentral:sRNA from 1 species